rnacentral:rRNA from 1 species
AACGCGAAGAACCUUACCUGGGCUCGAAAUGCUAUGGACCAGCUGGUGAAAGCCGGCCUUCCCGCAAGGGACCGUAGUAUAGGUGCUGCAUGGUUGUCGUCAGCUCGUGUCGUGAGAUGUUGGGUUAAGUCCCGCAACGAGCGCAACCCUUGUCCUGUGUUGCCAUCAUUCAGUUGGGAACUCGCAGGAGACCGCCAGGGAUAACCUGGAGGAAGGUGGGGAUGACGUCAAGUCCUCAUGGCCUUUAUGUCCAGGGCUACACACGUGCUACAAUGGACGGUACAAUACGUCGCUAACCCGCGAGGGGGAGCCAAUCGCCAAAAACCGUUCUCAGUUCGGAUUGCAGGCUGCAACUCGCCUGCAUGAAGCUGGAAUCGCUAGUAAUGGCAGAUCAGCACGCUGCCGUGAAUACGUUCCCGGGCCUUGUACACACCGACAUA